GGGUUGGUGAGGGCAGUUAGUCAACAUCUGUCACUCCAUUGCUUGUUAGGAUUACUUUAGCCGAUUUGUCUGACUGGGCAGGUGUCCCCUCUCUCCCUCAGUGCUCCAUGUGCAUCCCUCUUGAAGCUUCGCACUCUGUUGAAGAGGACACUCAUCCCAGGUAGAGAGGGGAUGGGAAGCUGGGCCAAUUAAAUCUAUGUCCUUCCCUUUCCAUCCCAUCAAUGCUGCUUAACUUCCUAAGAUCCAUGACUUCUAUGAAAUUCCUU
ensembl:misc_RNA 7SK 7SK RNA